UACAACGAUAUUAUUUGUAGCGGCUGUUUUCGGAUAUCCUGCUAGUAACAGCGAAGCAAAAGUUCGAUUUUGUUCGUCGCUGUCGGAAUUACCGUUUAGGAAGAAGGCACUGACAAAUGGACAUUCAAUACGACCCACGAUUGACAGCCGCGAUGUUUUACGCCAAACUUCGUCGUCCUGUCGCGCAGAACAUGUCAUUUCAAGUCCUUAAGCUAAAUAAGCUUAAGUAUAUUUAAAUUAUAUAUUUUUAGACUACAUAUAUGACACGUAAAUGCAUUCAUGUUAGAAAACAGAAACAGCUGAUAUUAGUUUUGUUCAAUCGAUAAAAAGCUGUAUUAAGUACAAUUGACAAUCAUGACAAAUAAUAUUCUUGGUUA